rnacentral:rRNA from 1 species
UCUUGAUCUCAGAUCAGGCAGGAUGACCCGCUGAACUUAAGCAUAUCAGUAAGCGGAGGAAAAGAAACUAACCAGGAUUCCCUUAGUAACGGCGAGUGAAGCGGGAAUAGCCCAAUCUGAAAAGCUAGUCAGCCCUGGCGCUGGUCUCGCAUUGUAGGUUGAUGGAACGUUACCUAGUGUUAAACCUUUCAGCUAAAGUCUCUUGGAACAGAGCAUCAAAGAGGGUGAUAAUCCCGUGAUUAGCUGAAUGACAUACCAGUUUGAUACGUCUAUGGUGCGUUUCCUUAGAGUCGGAAUGUUUGGGAUUGCAUUCCAAAGCGGGUGGUAAACUCCAUCUAAGGCUAAAUACUGGCGAGAGACCGAUAGCGAACAAGUACCGUGAGGGAAAGUUGAAAAGCACUCUGGAGAGAGAGUCAAACAGUACGUGAAAUUGCUAGCAGGGAAACGUUGGGCACCAGUACACGGCAAUCAAUGCUAAUGAUCAGUCGGUGUAUUAGUGGGUUGUAGCGUGGUGUUCCACUUUAGAGAUUGUCCUAGGAUGACUCACGCGUUACAAACAGCUGAUGCACCGGUGCACUCUUUGGCAGCCGGGUCAACAUCGGUUAAUGGCGCUCGACAAGUUAUUAGACAAGGUAUCAUUAGCAAGUUCGCUUGCUUUUGAACUUAUAGGUCUGGUGUACGAGGGUGCUAUUGACCGAGGAUAGUCGAUUCGCGCGUUUCGGCGCAGGGCGUAUUGGCUGGGUCAAGGCUGCCCGUGGUGCUAAUCAGCAUGCUGAUUAGUAUUCAUUUUGCUAUACUUGUAUAGCAGUGGCGGUCGUCCAGCCAGUGCAAGCCACUAGCGAGUCAAUGACGGUUGACGAAAUGGUAUUCAACGACCCGUCUUGAAACACGGACCAAGGAGUCUAACAUGUCUGCGAGUGUUUGGAUGGAAAAUCCUUACGCGGAAUGAAAGUAAAGAGGCAAGUU